rnacentral:rRNA from 1 species
UACAGAGGGUGCAAGCGUUAAUCGGAAUUACUGGGCGUAAAGCGCGCGUAGGUGGUUUGUUAAGUUGGAUGUGAAAGCCCCGGGCUCAACCUGGGAACUGCAUUCAAAACUGACAAGCUAGAGUAUGGUAGAGGGUGGUGGAAUUUCCUGUGUAGCGGUGAAAUGCGUAGAUAUAGGAAGGAACACCAGUGGCGAAGGCGACCACCUGGACUGAUACUGACAUUGAGGUGCGAAAGCGUGGGGAGCAAACAGG